rnacentral:rRNA from 1 species
GAUGAACGCUGGCGGCGUGCCUAAUACAUGCAAGUCGAGCGAACGGACGAGAAGCUUGCUUCUCUGAUGUUAGCGGCGGACGGGUGAGUAACACGUGGAUAACCUACCUAUAAGACUGGGAUAACUUCGGGAAACCGUAGCUAAUACCGGAUAAUAUUUUGAACCGCAUGGUUCAAAAGUGAAAGACGGUCUUGCUGUCACUUAUGGAUGGAUCCGCGCUGCAUUAGCUAGUUGGUAAGGUAACGGCUUACCAAGGCAACGAUGCAUAGCCGACCUGAGAGGGUGAUCGGCUACACUGGAACUGAGACACGGUCCAGACUCCUACGGGAGGCAGCAGUAGGGAAUCUUCCGCAAUGGGCGAAAGCCUGACGGAGCAACGCCGCGUGAGUGAUGAAGGUCUUCGGAUCGUAAAACUCUGUUAUUAGGGAAGAACAUAUGUGUAAGUAACUGUGCACAUCUUGACGGUACCUAAUCAGAAAGCCACGGCUAACUACGUG